UCUCAAUAUUCCCUUACUUUGGGGCCCUCUUGACUUAUUGGUGUUGCAGCACAGAGUUGAUUAUAAAUUUCAUCACUUGUCUUGUUUCUUCAUUAUUAGUUUUGCACAGGAGGAGUCACAUCAUGUGCCAGGGACACAGGGCAUAACUUCCUUGAAAGCUGUUCUCCAUUCUGAGAGUCUCCUCUGGAAAAUCAUUCCUUUCCAUCUCAAUUUUAGGUCCCCACCUUCCCUAAAAUCACACUUACCUGCAAAGUAUUGUUCCAGUGUUCUCCAAGUCAUGGCUUGAAAGAUGUGCUCCUGUUUCUCGUAACAAAUUGAUCACAUGUAUGUGCCUGAACUUGAUCGCAUUCAUCAGUGGGGAAGAUCCGUAUCUGUCUCUAGCGUAAACAGUUGCACCAGAUGUUAACAAAUACUCAACUGAUGGUAAAUGCCCUUCAGAGGCUGCAAUAUGAAGUGGAGUUCGGCCAUCAUAGUCUUCACAGCUUAGGUUUCCACCCAUUUCUGCUAUGGCUCUCAGUGCGUCUACGUCACCCAGUUUAGCUGCAGCACAAGCCAAAAGUGGAAUUAAUGCAUCUCUUACAGCUUCUAACUCCUCCUUGCAGCUGAUACUUAGAGAUCUGGCAAUCACUUGAAUAAACUUGCUAUCUCUGAGAGAGAUCUUGGCUCCUGUGGGUACAACAGUCAUUUCUCCUCUUAGAUUCUCACUCAGCAUCUGUCUCUUCUCCUC
rnacentral:lncRNA from 1 species